UGGGGAAUAUUGGACAAUGGGCGAAAGCCUGAUCCAGCCAUGCCGCGUGUGUGAAGAAGGCCUUUUGGUUGUAAAGCACUUUAAGUGGGGAGGAAAAGCUUAUGGUUAAUACCCAUAAGCCCUGACGUUACCCACAGAAUAAGCACCGGCUAACUCUGUGCCAGCAGCCGCGGUAAUACAGAGGGUGCAAGCGUUAAUCGGAAUUACUGGGCGUAAAGCGCGCGUAGGUGGUUAUUUAAGUCAGAUGUGAAAGCCCCGGGCUUAACCUGGGAACUGCAUCUGAUACUGGAUAACUAGAGUAGGUGAGAGGGGAGUAGAAUUCCAGGUGUAGCGGUGAAAUGCGUAGAGAUCUGGAGGAAUACCGAUGGCGAAGGCAGCUCCCUGGCAUCAUACUGACACUGAGGUGCGAAAGCGUGGGUAGCAAACAGGAUUAGAUACCCUGGUAGUCCACGCCGUAACGAUGUCUACCAGUCGUUGGGUCUUUUAAAGACUUAGUGACGCAGUUAACGCAAUAAGUAGACCGCCUGGGGAGUACGGCCGCAAGGUU
rnacentral:rRNA from 1 species